UCGAGCGAGUCUGCCUUGAAGAUCGGAGUGCUUGCACUCUGUGAAACAAGAUACAGGCUAGCGGCGGACGGGUGAGUAACACGUGGGUAACCUGCCCAAGAGAUCGGGAUAACACCUGGAAACAGAUGCUAAUACCGGAUAACAACAGAUGAUGCCUAUCAACUGUUUAAAAGAUGGUUCUGCUAUCACUCUUGGAUGGACCUGCGGUGCAUUAGCUAGUUGGUAGGGUAACGGCCUACCAAGGCGAUGAUGCAUAGCCGAGUUGAGAGACUGAUCGGCCACAUUGGGACUGAGACACGGCCCAAACUCCUACGGGAGGCAGCAGUAGGGAAUCUUCCACAAUGGACGCAAGUCUGAUGGAGCAACGCCGCGUGAGUGAAGAAGGGUUUCGGCUCGUAAAGCUCUGUUGUUGGUGAAGAAGGACGGGGGUAGUAACUGACCUUUGUUUGACGGUAAUCAAUUAGAAAGUCACGGCUAACUACGUGCCAGCAGCCGCGGUAAUACGUAGGUGGCAAGCGUUGUCCGGAUUUAUUGGGCGUAAAGCGAGUGCAGGCGGUUCGAUAAGUCUGAUGUGAAAGCCUUCGGCUCAACCGGAGAAUUGCAUCAGAAACUGUCGAGCUUGAGUACAGAAGAGGAGAGUGGAACUCCAUGUGUAGCGGUGAAAUGCGUAGAUAUAUGGAAGAACACCGGUGGCGAAGGCGGCUCUCUGGUCUGUUACUGACGCUGAGGCUCGAAAGCAUGGGUAGCGAACAGGAUUAGAUACCCUGGUAGUCCAUGCCGUAAACGAUGAGUGCUAAG
rnacentral:rRNA from 1 species